GAUGAACGCUGGCGGCGUGCCUAAUACAUGCAAGUCGAGCGAACAGACGAGGAGCUUGCUCCUCUGACGUUAGCGGCGGACGGGUGAGUAACACGUGUAUAACCUACCUAUAAGACUGGGAUAACUUCGGGAAACCGGAGCUAAUACCGGAUAAUAUAUUGAACCGCAUGGUUCAAUAGUGAAAGACGGUUUUGCUGUCACUUAUAGAUGGAUCCGCGCCGCAUUAGCUAGUUGGUAAGGUAACGGCUUACCAAGGCAACGAUGCGUAGCCGACCUGAGAGGGUGGUCGGCCACACGGGAACUGAGACACGGUCCAGACGCCUAAGGGAGGCAGCAGUAGGGUAUCGUCCGCAAUGGGCGAAAGCCUGACGGAGCAAGGGCGCGUGAGUGAUGAAGGUCUUCGGAUCGUAAAACUCUGUUAUUGGGGAAGAACAAAUGUGUAAGUAACUAUGCACGGCUUGACGGUACCUAAUCAGAAAGCCACGGCUAACUACGUG
rnacentral:rRNA from 1 species